rnacentral:rRNA from 1 species
UACGUAGGCAGCGAGCGUUGUUCGGAGUUACUGGGCGUAAAGAGUGCGCAGGCGGUUUUCUAAGUUUGGUGUGAAAUCUCCCGGCUUAACUGGGAGGGUGCGCCGAAAACUGGAAGGCUUGAGGAUGGGAGAGGUAAGCGGAAUUCCUGGUGUAGCGGUGAAAUGCGUAGAUAUCAGGAGGAACACCUGCGGUGUAGACGGCUUACUGGACCAUAACUGACGCUGAGGCACGAAAGCGUGGGGAGCAAACAGG